AUGCCUAAAAGUUUGUUCAAAAUUUCUCUAACAACAAUUUCACUGAAAAGAUAUUCUAAAAAAAUUGAACAUACAAACUAUACACAAAAGUUAUAUACACAACUAUAAAACUUUCUAAAAAUAAAAAAAUUAUGAAAAAUAAUUCUUUCCAAAAAAAAGGAAAGUUCGAUUUUGUCGGAGAUCGAUCGCUAGGAAGGCUCCUGACGCGCGCUGGCGAAUCAGAAUCCCCUGCUUUCACCAUUGCCGCGUCGUCUCCGCUGAUCCCGCGAAAUGCCCGGGAAAUCUAUCAGCCCCAGCCGGCCGGACAAAUUAACAACGCUUCCAAGUUAAGCAAGCUCGGUAUGUACAGCCAUUGCCGUGAGGAUAGAUUGUGCUCCGAUCCCUCGUCGCCAAUCUUGAAUCUUCCACGCGGCGAGGCAGGUGUAUACGCGUACGCGACGCGGUGUGUAAAAUUUUCAAAGCCGCGGCUUCGUGAAUGAUAGGUACAUCCCGAUCAAGCCCCCCAAUUGUUGCUGGUGAUAACCGUACGUGAUUGUUUACCCAGCACACCUCGCCGCUGAAAGUCUGAAUCGCGCACAAGAACGCGGUGCGGCCGCGGCGUGUGAAGGAACUUUCGCUGUAAAUCGGCAGGGCCUGUGCUACGGCCGGCUGGCCUCAAAACGGCCAAACCAUUCGCGCGUCGCUCCAGUUGGAAACUACGCCGGCCUGCAGUGAUACUUCAGAAAUGAGAAGCAUCAGCAGCGUCGGCAUCGUGCAACUGGGCACUCGCAGCCUUCCGCAGCUCUGCGCCGGAAAUCUAGUUUUGCGACCGACAGACAGGUUCGAAACCGGCGACCGACGAUGGACACGUGGGUGGGUCCUGCUUCCCACGUCAGGAGCCCCAGCGUGCUUGCAGCUGGCAGCGUCCGGCAGAGGUCGAGCGAUUGGUGGACGCAGAGCUCCAGCCAGCCAUGACGUCCGACAAUUUUCUCUUUGGAUAAGUUAUAAACAUAACUUUUCUUUUUUUAGAUAAGUUUUGUUUUUCUUGCAUAAUUUGUAUGUAUAGCUAUUUAUAGGAAAACUUACAUAUAUAAUUUUUUGUUGCGGAAA